rnacentral:piRNA from 1 species
UACUAUCGGAGUCACCACCAGUCAAAUC